rnacentral:rRNA from 1 species
AGAGUUUGAUCCUGGCUCAGGACGAACGCUGGCGGCGUGCUUAACACAUGCAAGUCGAGCGGAAAGGCUCCUUCGGGGGUACUCGAGCGGCGAACGGGUGAGUAACACGUGAGUAAUCUGCCCUUCACUUGGGGAUAACUACCGGAAACGGUGGCUAAUACCCGAUAUGACACCUGCUUGCAUGAGUGGGUGUGGAAAGUUUUUUCGGUGGAGGAUGUGCUCGCGGCCUAUCAGCUUGUUGGUGGGGUAAUGGCCUACCAAGGCUUCGACGGGUAGCCGGCCUGAGAGGGUGACCGGCCACACUGGGACUGAGACACGGCCCAGACUCCUACGGGAGGCAGCAGUGGGGAAUAUUGGACAAUGGGCGGAAGCCUGAUCCAGCAACGCCGCGUGAGGGAUGACGGCCUUCGGGUUGUAAACCUCUUUCACCGAUGACGAAGCGCAAGUGACGGUAGUCGGAGAAGAAGCACCGGCCAACUACGUGCCAGCAGCCGCGGUAAUACGUAGGGUGCGAGCGUUGUCCGGAAUUAUUGGGCGUAAAGGGCUCGUAGGCGGUUUGUCGCGUCGGGAGUGAAAACCCAGGGCUUAACCCUGGGCUGGCUUUCGAUACGGGCAGACUAGAGGUAUGCAGGGGAGAACGGAAUUCCUGGUGUAGCGGUGAAAUGCGCAGAUAUCAGGAGGAACACCGGUGGCGAAGGCGGUUCUCUGGGCAUUACCUGACGCUGAGGAGCGAAAGUGUGGGGAGCGAACAGGAUUAGAUACCCUGGUAGUCCACACCGUAAACGUUGGGCGCUAGGUGUGGGGUCCAUUCCACGGAUUCCGUGCCGCAGCUAACGCAUUAAGCGCCCCGCCUGGGGAGUACGGCCGCAAGGCUAAAACUUAAAGGAAUUGACGG